rnacentral:rRNA from 1 species
GAUGAACGCUGGCGGCGUGCCUAAUACAUGCAAGUCGAGCGAACGGACGAGAAGCUUGCUUCUCUGAUGUUAGCGGCGGACGGGUGAGUAACACGUGGAUAACCUACCUAUAAGACUGGGAUAACUUCGGGAAACCGUAGCUAAUACCGGAUAAUAUUUUGAACCGCAUGGUUCAAAAGUGAAAGACGGUCUUGCUGUCACUUAUAGAUGGAUCCGCGCUGCAUUAGCUAGUUGGUAAGGUAACGGCUUACCAAGGCAACGAUGCAUAGCCGACCUGAGAGGGUGAUCGGCCACACUGGAACUGAGACACGGUCCAGACUCCUACGGGAGGCAGCAGUAGGGAAUCUUCCGCAAUGGGCGAAAGCCUGACGGAGCAACGCCGCGUGAGUGAUGAAGGUCUUCGGAUCGUAAAACUCUGUUAUUGGGGAAGAACAUAUGUGUAAGUAACUGUGCACAUCAUGACGGUACCUAAUCAGAAAGCCACGGCUAACUACGUG